rnacentral:rRNA from 1 species
AUGGGCAAGGAAAAUCGGACUCAGAAAAGAAUUGAUUUGGUGUUUAAAAGGAAAAGAGAUGAUAUAAUUGAAGUUGAGGAAGACCAAGUAUUGCCCUUACUUGAAUUGGAACAGCAACAACCUGAACAACAACAUAACCAAGACGGAGGAGUUCGAACAAAUGAAGUUGUUACAUUCCGGGGUAUUGAGUUCUUGCAGCGGGAUCUUGGAUUGCGCCCUCAAAUUUGGCAAUAUCCACCAGACCAGAGAGAUAUCGUGAGGAGAGCAUAUUUGAUGUUAGGUCCUAUGCAACCCCGCCUAGAGAACUAUAAACCUUCUCGUGAACCAGGGCAUCAACGCCGCUUCCAAUAUAGUUGGUUUGAUGAUUUUCCGUCAUGGCUAGAGUAUUCAGAGGAGAAAAGUUGUGUGUAUUGUCUAUAUUGA